ACUCCUACGGGAGGCAGCAGUGGGGAAUAUUGGACAAUGGGGGCAACCCUGAUCCAGCCAUGCCGCGUGAGUGAUGAAGGCCCUAGGGUUGUAAAGCUCUUUUACCCGGGAUGAUAAUGACAGUACCGGGAGAAUAAGCCCCGGCUAACUCCGUGCCAGCAGCCGCGGUAAUA
rnacentral:rRNA from 1 species